rnacentral:rRNA from 1 species
AGUGAACGCUGGCGGCGUGCCUAAUACAUGCAAGUCGAACGGAGUGGCGCACGGGUGAGUAAUGUAUAGCUAAUCCGCCCUACACUAGAGGACAACCGUUGGAAACCACUGCUAAUACUCUAUAGUGUAGGAUGAGGCUAUAUUGUAUCAGCUAGUUGGUGAGGUAAUGGCGCACCAAGGCUAUGACGCAUAACUGGUCUGAGAGGAUGAUCAGUAGCACUUGAACGGAGACACGGUCCGGACUCCUACGGGAAGGAGCAGUAGGGAGUAAUACUAAAUGGGGGGAACCCUGAAACAGCAUCGCAGCGUGAAGGAUGACACUUUUCGAAGCAUAAACACCUUUUGAUAGGGAAGCGGUACCUAACGAAUAAGCACCGGCUAACUACGUGCCAGCAGCCGCGGUAAUAC